GGGUUGUGAGGUUAAGCGACUAAGCGUACACGGUGGAUGCCCUGGCAGUCAGAGGCGAUGAAGGACGUGCUAAUCUGCGAAAAGCGUCGGUAAGGUGAUAUGAACCGUUACAGCCGGCGAUGUCCGAAUGGGGAAACCCAGUGCAAUUCGUUGCACUAUCGUUAACUGAAUACAUAGGUUAACGAGGCGAACCGGGGGAACUGAAACAUCUAAGUACCCCGAGGAAAAGAAAUCAACCGAGAUUCCCCCAGUAGCGGCGAGCGAACGGGGAGCAGCCCAGAGUCUGAAUCAGCUUGUGUGUUAGUGGAACGGUCUGGAAAGUCCGACGGUACAGGGUGAUAGUCCCGUACACCAAAAUGCACAGGUUGUGAACUCGAAGAGUAGGGCGGGACACGUGGUAUCCUGUCUGAAUAUGGGGGGACCAUCCUCCAAGGCUAAAUACUCCUGACUGACCGAUAGUGAACCAGUACCGUGAGGGAAAGGCGAAAAGAACCCCGGCG
rnacentral:rRNA from 1 species